rnacentral:rRNA from 1 species
UGGGAAUUUGGACAAUGGGCGAAAGCCUGAUCCAGCAAUGCCGCGUGUGUGAAGAAGGCCUUCGGGUUGUAAAGCACUUUUGUCCGGAAAGAAAUCCUUGGCUCUAAUACAGUCGGGGGAUGACGGUACCGGAAGAAUAAGCACCGGCUAACUACGUGCCAGCAGCCGCGGUAAUACGUAGGGUGCAAGCGUUAAUCGGAAUUACUGGGCGUAAAGCGUGCGCAGGCGGUUUGCUAAGACCGAUGUGAAAUCCCCGGGCUCAACCUGGGAACUGCAUUGGUGACUGGCAGGCUAGAGUAUGGCAGAGGGGGGUAGAAUUCCACGUGUAGCAGUGAAAUGCGUAGAGAUGUGGAGGAAUACCGAUGGCGAAGGCAGCCCCCUGGGCCAAUACUGACGCUCAUGCACGAAAGCGUGGGGAGCAAACAGGAUUAGAUACCCUGGUAGUCCACGCCCUAAACGAUGUCAACUAGUUGUUGGGGAUUCAUUUCCUUAGUAACGUAGCUAACGCGUGAAGUUGACCGCCUGGGGAGUACGGUCGCAAGAUUAAAACUUAAAUGAAUUGACGGGGUCAUAGCUGUUUCCU